UACAGGGGGUGCAAACGUUGCUCGGAAUCAUUGGGCGUAAAGCGCACGUAGGUGGUUCGUUAUGUCGGAUGUGAAAGCCCUUGGCUUAACCGAGGAAGUGCAUCCGAAACUGGCGAGCUAGAGUACGAAAGAGGAUCGCGGAAUUCCCGGUGUAGAGGGUGAAAAUUCGUAGAUAUCGGGGAGGAAACACCGGUGGCGAGGGCGGCGAUCUGGGUCGAUACUGACGCUGAGGUGCGAAAGCGUGGGGGG
rnacentral:rRNA from 1 species